UUCACUUCCUCUUUCAUGAAAAUUCAACAGCCGCUCCUUCAUUUCUUUCUUUGUUCCUUUUUUUUUUUCCUUCUUUUUCUCAACAUCUUCUUCAAUAUUUCAUAAGCUCACCUUCUUCAAUCAUCUCCUCUUCUUCUAACAAUCAACCCAUGGUUCAAUUGUUGCUUACAACCCCAAAUUUAUGUAAUAAUAACAGACCAAAUUCUCCCUUCUCUUCUUCAUGACACCCUUUCCGCCGCCACAACCCUUUGUCUGGAUUCUUCCAUUUUCCAACCUUCAAUGACUCCUCCACAACCACCAAUCCACCAUCUUCAUCCUUUCUAUAUGAUUUUAAAAUUUUACAACCAUUAACUUCUUAGUUAGAUCUUGACAACCACGGGAGCAAGUUCGUCGGAAACCACCGCGCCGGAAACCAUCGCCGCCGCAGCUAUCACUUUUCCGGUCAAGUUACCUUUACUCUAACAAUAUAGAAAUUUGGCUUGGUUGGCUUGAAAAAUGGCUUGGUUCAAUGCUACAUUAGUUCAGUUACUUAAUUUUUGGACUACAAAUAUCCUUGAAAUGGACAGGUGGCAAAUUAUGGAGCAAGGGCAAAACUGAUUUUUCCAUAGUAAUCAAUUUUCUUAUAUUGUAAU